rnacentral:rRNA from 1 species
ACGAACGCUGGCGGCGUGCUUUACACAUGCCAGUCGAACGGAAAGGCCCUGCUUUUGUGGGGUGCUCGAGUGGCGAACGGGUGAGUAAUACGUGAGUAACCUGCCCUUGACUUUGGGAUAACUUCUGGAAACUGGGGCUAAUACUGGAUAGGAGCUCCUGCUGCAUGGUGGGGGUUGGAAAGUUUCGGCGGUUGGGGAUGGACUCGCGGCUUAUCAGCUUGUUGGUGGGGUAGUGGCUUACCAAGGCUUUGACGGGUAGCCGGCCUGAGAGGGUGACCGGCCACAUUGGGACUGAGAUACGGCCCAGACUCCUACGGGAGGCAGCAGUGGGGAAUAUUGCACAAUGGGCGGAAGCCUGAUGCAGCAACGCCGCGUGCGGGAUGACGGCCUUCGGGUUGUAAACCGCUGUCGCCUGUGACGAAGCGUGAGUGACGGUAAUGGGUAAAGAAGCACCGGCUAACUACGUG